CCUACGGGAGGCAGCAGUGAGGAAUAUUGGUCAAUGGGCGAGAGCCUGAACCAGCCAAGUCGCGUGAGGGAGUACUGCCCUAUGGGUUGUAAACCUCUUUUGUCGGGGAGCAAAAGCCGGACGUGUCCGGCUGUGAGAGUACCCGAAGAAAAAGCAUCGGCUAACUCCGUGCCAGCAGCCGCGGUAAUACGGAGGAUGCGGGCGUUAUCCGGAUUUAUUGGGGUUAAAGGGUGCGCAGGCGGAUUUUUAAGUCAGCGGUCAAAUCGUGGGGCUCAACCCCAUCGAGCCGUUGAAACUGGGGAUCUAGAGUGUGCGAGAGGUAUGCGGAAUGCGUGGUGUAGCGGUGAAAUGCAUAGAUAUCACGCAGAACCCCGAUUGCGAAGGCAGCAUACCGGUGCACAACUGACGCUCAGGCACGAAAGCGUGGGUAUCGAACAGGAUUAGAUACCCGUGUAGUC
rnacentral:rRNA from 1 species